AACAGGCAGAAUCAUAAUCGGUACACAGGCAGAAUGUCAGGGUAUCAAGCUGAGAAUCACAGUCCAAGAAACAAGCAAUAUAGUCCAGAAGGCAUGCAGCAGUAAUCGUAAACCAGGGAACAGACAAAAUAAGCAACAGACAGACAAUAGAAAAUGCUCAGAAGUGUAACCGUAGUACAACAAGACCUCGCCCUGAACACAAGAAAGCUAGCAGCUUAAAUACUAAAAUCCAAUGAGCUGCAGCUGGAGAGUAAUCAGAGUCCAAGGAUGGGGCUUGUGGGAAAUGUAGUGCAAUAGUCACUGUGUGUGUAUGUGGUUGUAGGAAGAGUGGCAGAAUCAUAAUCGGUACACAGGCAGAAUGUCAGGGUAUCAAGCUGAGAAUCACAGUCCAAGAAACAAGCAAUAUAGUCCAGAAGGCAUGCAGCAGUAAUCGUAAACCAGGGAACAGACAAAAUAAGCAACAGACAGACAAUAGAAAAUGCUCAGAAGUGUAACCGUAGUACAACAAGACCUCGCCCUGAACACAAGAAAGCUAGCAGCUUAAAUACUAAAAUCCAAUGAGCUGCAGCUGGAGAGUAAUCAGAGUCCAAGGAUGGGGCUUGUGGGAAAUGUAGUGCAAUAGUCACUGUGUGUGUAUGUGGUUGUAGGAAGAGUGGCAGGUGCAGGGUGAAUGGGAAAUGGAGUUCAAUGGAUAUGUGAAGUCCAGUUUGGAGUGCCCUCUGGUGGCCAUGACGGGCACUCUCACUUGUGAUCAUGAC
ensembl:lncRNA